rnacentral:rRNA from 1 species
ACGGAAGGCAGCAGUAGGGAAUUUUCGGCAAUGGGGGGAACCCUGACCGAGCAACGCCGCGUGAACGAAGAAGGUCUUCGGAUUGUAAAGUUCUGUUGUCGAGGAAGAACGGUCCCUGUAGGGAAUGACAGGGAAGUGACGGUACUCGAUUAGAAAGCCACGGCUAACUACGUGCCAGCAGCCGCGGUAAUACGUAGGUGGCGAGCGUUAUCCGGAAUUAUUGGGCGUAAAGAGGGAGCAGGCGGCUCGAAGGGUCUAAGUUUAAAAGGCAACGGCUCAACCGUUGUAUGGACAAGAAACCGGCGAGCUAGAGUCCUAUAGAGGAUCGUGGAAUUCCAUGUGUAGCGGUGAAAUGCGUAGAUAUAUGGAGGAACACCAGUGGCGAAGGCGACGAUCUGGAUAGAGACAGACGCUGAGUCCCGAAAGCGUGGGGAGCAAAUAGGAUUAGAUACCCUGGUA